GAAAAAGAAAGAAGAGACAUAAUCCUAAGAGAGCCUGAUGAAUAUAUAUGUUUGCAAUUUCCCUUGAAAUCUGCACAGAAAAUAGGAGUCAACCCUAAAUUCAAAUAAAUCACUGCAAAGACUCACUGGCUGACAGCCAUCUGGUCUCUAGAAGGAGAUUAAUUAUUUGAUUCAGUUGUGUCAAAACAGCUGAAAUGAAUUAAACUUAUGAGAAAGA